rnacentral:misc_RNA from 1 species
CUGUCUUUUUCUUUUACUCUUUGCUUUUGAAUAAACAGCAGUUGAUUUCGCUAUCAUUUCUUUCAGUCUCAAUUAAUUAAUAUCAAUACUAGAGUUGUUUGUGUCUCUUCAGACAAUAUAUAUUUUUAAAAUUAUUUUGGAUUGGGGGAAGGGAGGGGGAAGUUAUUGCUUAGUUGGUAUUUGUUCAUACGGAACUAAGGGCUAUAACUUUACCAAUCAUCUUUACAAGCUAAAGAGAUAAAAACUCUUGGUUAGUAAAAUGAUUGAUUACAUGAUUUAUACUGUUACUUAUGCUAGUUUAUUGUCUGAAGGGAUACAGUAGCUUUUUUUGUAUGAUUUGCCAUGACAUGCUCGAAUGCACGUGCAUUGUUGGUGUUUGUUUGUUUUUUUUUUAUUUUGUGGAUGUGUGCUUUAAUGAUUUCAUUUGUAGACCCUUUUGCAUGGUUGAUAAUAAAAAGAACCGACAUAGGUUUCUUUGAGAACUAGUGCUAUGCGUAUGUGUAGCGUUUAAUAAAUAAUAGCCUAUAUAAUGAUGAACUCUAGCGAUUGAUUUAAAAAAAAAUCUCGAAGACUUCAAAGUCAGAACCAUAACAGCUUCCAUUAGGAACUAUUGGUAUCCUGAAAUCAAUAUGCAUUACUGUCAUUAUAUCUCUAUAUGAACACUAACAUACAUAUCUCUUUGAUUUAUUAUCUACGAUUACACCCACUUACUAUAUAUCAUAUCUUAUAUGCUGGAAGAUUUUUUUGAUAGAGAGCAUGCUAUACAUGUAGCAUCGAGUGUGUGAAUAUUUAACCCAUUCAAUUUUGAUCUGAUUACAAAACAAUCCGCUAGCAUCAUUCGUUGAUAGAAAUUGAUUUGAAAUGUUUUUGAUCAGGCAUUUGUUGUCGUCCCGUACUACCGUAUAUCUGGUUAUUCUCAUGAUGAUCUAGUUUUCGGGGGGGGGGGGGCGAUCACUUUUACAUUGCAAAAAAUUAUAUCCUGUAUUAAUUUCUAUAAGAAUAUUUCCAAAUUGCAGAAUAUGACUGACUCAAAUGAAUUUUCACCAUUUUCGCAAAUUUUGUGAUACACGUAAAAAGAACCGGCUAUACGGUAUAUAUACACGUAGUUGACACUGAUAUCAGAUGCACGUGUAAAAUCUUAUUGGCGGCUGCAUUAGCAUUGUGCAAGUAUUACUUUACGUUAAGUAAGCAAAUGUGGUAUGUAGCAUGCAUGUGAUUGAGGUCUAGUAUUAUAUUCAUUUCGCACAAUAAUUGUGUUCGGCGUUUGUAGUGUGCUGCCGUAUCGUCUUUGCACGGUGCCUUUAGACUAUCACUAACUGCAUGUAGUUCUUUCUCUAACACACCACUAAUUCAUUAAUCAGGUCUCACAACAAGGGCAGACUAUUUGUUUGAGCGGUUUUAUUGGUCUAGACGUCCCACCGCCCGCUGGUCCGUUAUGGAUUCUUGGGGAUGUUUUCAUUGGUCGAUUUUACACCGAGUUCGACAUGGGAAACAACAGAGUCGGAUUCGCCGAUGUGGCCAGCCCAUGAACCGUUUAAUACAUGUAUGAUGUGUUAUAUCAAAAGUAGAAUGUUCACGUUCUGAAUUAUCAGGACGUAUAUUCUUGUCAACUUUAAUAAAAUAUAUUUAUUUUC